CAGAAGGAGAAGGAAAGCAGACUCCAUACUGAGCAUGGAGCCUGAUCCCAGGACCCUGAGAUCAUAACCUGAGCCAAAAUCAAGAGUCAGACGCUUAACCAACUGAGCCACCCAGGCACCCCGAGUUGUUCCCAGCUUCUAGGGGCUGCCUACACUUCUUGGCUCGUGGUUCAUUUCUUCCAUGUUCAAAGCCAGCAAGGAUGAGGAGAAGCCGUCUGAAAAUUUCAGUCUCUCCUGCCUCUCCUCCAAAUGAUACAAGGCUCUUUUAUGUGGACCCAACAGAAGGGCACCUUCCCUGCAGUUUAACCAUGAUCCAUGUGGAGUAGUUCAUACUGGUCCCUGCUCUUCUCUUCAAAUGGUAACAGUUAUCCCCUCCAGAUCCGUGGAGCUACCCUCAUCUUACUCAGCAUGCAAAUGAAGGCGAUCCUUAUCCGACAAAUAGGGAAGGUUGGACAUCAAGAGGGAGCUCAGCACUUAAUUUGUGUACUGAAAGAGCGGCACACUGGUAAUCGCAUCGCAAGGGCAGUUUGCAUCCUGGCGGGCUGUGUGGAAGGGACGUCUAAACAAACCAAGGCCAGGGGCGCCUGGGUGGCUCAGUCGUUAAGUGUCUGCCUUCGGCUCAGGUCAUGGUC